ACCUUACUAACCUAAUAUCGUUUACGGAUACUUACACAGAUAUUCUGGACAUUCACUAAUAUGUCGUAAUUAAUGACCGCGAUUAUCCCUAUUUUAUCGAUAAGUCACAAAUCAAACGUUGUACUUACAUGGGUUCUCACUUGUAUACAGCUUACAUAAAAUAUUAUUAUGAUGUCUAUACAGCCUGUAUAAAUUUUAAAAAAAGUAAGUUGUGUAAAUUCGUGUUUUUUUUUGGGGGG